UCUCAGGCUCGAUCCAAUGGAAAUAAUGGUGGGCCUACACAAAGAGCAUCAGCUCUAGCUGCCUUAUCAUCUGCAUUCAAUUCAUCAUCAGCAAGCAAAAAGUCAGCUCCAAAGCCCUCCAGCACAGGUCAGGGUUCGCAAAGGGCAGCAGCUGUAGCUGCUCUUUCUGCAGUUCUUACUGCUGAAAAAGAAGACGCAACUGCAGGAUGGAUCCCCCGCAAAAUCUGCUAGCAGCACUCCUGCUGUAUCUACCCCACCUUCCGAAACGAAAAGUGAAGCAGACCCUUCUGAAGUUGAGGAUUCUCAAGAGGUUGCUGAAGCCAAGGAGACAAGUGUAGUACCUGAAACCAAUGGGGUGGAUUCAGAACCAAAGCAAAAGAUACAACUGGAUGAGAAUGGUACAUAUAGUUAUGAGCAACUGAAAGCCAUAUCUGGUAAUGCUGUAACCGGAAUCGAUCUCAAACGGAGAGAGACUUACCUGUCGGAUGAGGAGUUCCAGACAGUUUUCGGUAUGGAAAAAGAAGCAUUCUAUAGAUUACCAAAGUGGAAGCAAGACCUGAAGAAGAAGAAAGUUGAUCUAUUCUAAGAAUUCCAGCAAGUGAGAUUAUGUGCUUCAUCUGCAUUCUGACUAGCAAUCCGUCAUUUAUUUUGAUCUCAAAAUCUGUUUGGAAAAUUGUGUUGUCGAUGGUAUACGGUUUCUGGAAUGGUAUGUCUUAGCAUCCAAGAUUUUAUCAUAUGAUGUUGUCUGAAAGAGUGAUAUUUUUGGGGGAUUUUAUUUUUUCUACCUUCUCAUAGUGACACACAUAGUAGACAAGGACAGCUUUGGCAUGACAAGCCAGCAUUCUUUCACUUGGUAUGCCGUGUAUCUCCAUAAUCAUUGUUUGUUAUUCAACUCUCAUUUACUUUAUUUUCCAUUGUUUUGAUUUGUUAAAGGAAGGUGAUGUAUAUGAUAUUGCAUUUGUAUUGAACUCCAAUAUAAGUAAUGAAAAUUCAUUGUUUGAGA